UACGGAGGGUGCAAGCGUUAUCCGGAUUUACUGGGUUUAAAGGGUGUGUAGGCGGACUAUUAAGUCAGUGGUGAAAUCCCGAGGCUCAACCUCGGAACUGCCUUUGAUACUAUUAGUCUUGAAUGUUGUUGAGGUGGGCGGAACGGGUCAUGUAGCGGUGAAAUGCAUAGAUAUGACCCGGAACACCGAUUGCGAAGGCAGCCCGCUAAGCAACUAUUGACGCUGAGGCACGAAAGCGUGGGGAUCAAACAGGAUUAGAACUG
rnacentral:rRNA from 1 species